ensembl:piRNA 21ur-3784 ncRNA
UCGACUAUUGAUUUUGUUUGG